AGUGAACGCUGGCGGUAGGCCUAACACAUGCAAGUCGAACGGCAGCACAGUAAGAGCUUGCUCUUACGGGUGGCGAGUGGCGGACGGGUGAGGAAUACAUCGGAAUCUACUUUUUCGUGGGGGAUAACGUAGGGAAACUUACGCUAAUACCGCAUACGACCUACGGGUGAAAGCAGGGGAUCUUCGGACCUUGCGCGAUUGAAUGAGCCGAUGUCGGAUUAGCUAGUUGGCGGGGUAAAGGCCCACCAAGGCGACGAUCCGUAGCUGGUCUGAGAGGAUGAGCAGCCACACUAGAACUGAGACACGGUCCAGACUACUACGGGAGGCAGCGGUGGGGAAUAUUGGACAAUGGGCGCAAGCCUGAUCCAGCCAUACCGCGUGGGUGAAGAAGGCCUUCGGGUUGUAAAGCCCUUUUGUUGGGAAAGAAAAGCAGCAGGUUAAUACCCCGCUGUUCUGACGGUACCCAAAGAAUAAGCACCGGCUAACUUCGUG
rnacentral:rRNA from 1 species